rnacentral:rRNA from 1 species
AACGAAGGUCACCACCGCGGAGGGGAGCCAAUCCCAUAAAACCAUUCGUAGUCCGGAUCGCAGUCUGCAACUCGACUGCGUGAAGUCGGAAUCGCUAGUAAUCGUGGAUCAGAAUGUCACGGUGAAUACGUUCCCGGGUCUU